CUCAAUUUGUUUGCGCGACACAAUUUUUCAAAACCCCGAAGGGACUUUGUGUGGACACGUGUUACGACAAAUUUAGAAGCUACCUCAUUGAGAUGGAAAAUAAUUUCCUUUACUAAUUCACCAGUCUGGUAUAUAGUAUUUGCUCAAAUAUAAGACUAGGUCUUUAGGCACACAAAAUGAAGUUAUUUAAUUUUCAUUACCAUUUUAUUGAAAUUAGUGUUACAGUCUUAAAUUUGAACUGGUGCAGCUAUAAUUUAGGUCUGCCUAAGAGCAUAUCUUGUUCUCUUCAUUUUAAAGAAGCUUGUGAUGGAAUUUUUGCUGUUAUUUGUUGCAGUCCAAAAUUUAAUAUGUUCUGACACUGAGUUUGGCCUGUAUUCUCACAUUCUCAUACUGCAGAAGGUUGAACAAGUAAAGUAUAUAUUUUCCAGGUAAAUUAUGUUAUGAUUUUGUUCUUAUAAUGUAAUAUAAUAUUCUGUAACUGAUUUUUCAUUCAAGGAAUGAUGACAUAAUCCGUUUGAGUCAUAAUCUUCGGCGACUAGCAGACGAGUUUGCUCAGUCAGAGCUUCGUGAGCAUAUUCGACAAACAGCUGAUGGAGUUAAUUUAGAUAGUCUAGACUUCACAGCCUUUUCUGAUCUUGUGGCUGGAUUGUUUCAGGAAGGUGGGGUCACAACACCACGAGUGGUUGUGUUCUUUUUGUUUUGCUAUGACCUGCUAAUGAGAGUUAUAAACAACAAUACCCUGAUACGUUUAGUAAUGUUGGUUCGAAGAUACAUUGUUGGGAGAGUAACUAUAUGGGUGCAGCGUCAAGGAGGAUGGGCUGUAGUUCUUCAACAGUCCGUGAUAAAUGCAUAUAGGAUUGCAGUGACACUAUUUUGCUGCUUUGGAAUAGUGGCUAUAUGUGCGUACAUACGCAAUAACAGGCGAUAGCUGCAUAUUGCUUAGUUCUGGCGUGCAGUUGUUAUCAGUUAUUUUUGUGUUUAUAUUUUUGAAGUCUAUUAUUAUUAUUAUUGACUAGAUUGACUAUAUUAGAAAUUUGGAACAGGUUUUCAGAACUCCCAUGAUUAAGACUGAAGUAGAACAAAAAGUGGAGUAAAAAUGUUUGUUACAUUUUAGGCGUUGUAAAAUAAAUAAAAUAUUCUGUAGAAGGUUUGGCCCUUCUCGAAGGUAUCACCACCUUGUCGAAGGCAAUCUGCCGGGUGAGGAGGCUUGCG